rnacentral:rRNA from 1 species
GAUGAACGCUGACAGAAUGCUUAACACAUGCAAGUCAACUUGAACUUCGGUUUGGGUGGCGGACGGGUGAGUCACGCGUAAAGAACUUGCCUCACAGCUAGGGACAACAUUUGGAAACGAAUGCUAAUACCUGAUAUUAUGAUUUUAGGGCAUCCUAGAAUUAUGAAAGCUAUAUGCGCUGUGAGAGAGCUUUGCGUCCCAUUAGCUAGUUGGAGAGGUAACGGCUCACCAAGGCGAUGAUGGGUAGCCGGCCUGAGAGGGUGAACGGCCACAAGGGGACUGAGACACGGCCCUUACUCAUACGGGAGGCAGCAGUGGGGAAUAUUGGACAAUGGACCAAGAGUCUGAUCCAGCAAUUCGGUGUGCACGAUGAAGUUUUUCGGAAUGUAAAGUGCUUUCAGUUGGGAAGAAAAAAAUGACGGUACCAACAGAAGAAGUGACGGCUAAAUACGUG